UGAAGGAGACUUGGGUACGGGUUGGACGGUGUGUUAGGGAUUUCACUCUCUACACUGGCUCCCUUGGGACAGCAUUCUUACUUUUCAAAGCAUAUGAAGUCACCAAGAACAAGAAUGAUCUCAAUCUCUGCAUUGAAAUUGUACAAUAUCCAGGCUAUCUCUAAAAUGAUUCUGAAGAAUGUUUAGUAUGAGAAAUCAUUGAAAAACUCUGCAUUGAUCUUUCAAAAUAAAAUAAAAAAUAUGCAUUGCCUGGGUGACUAUAUGGUGUAAUAACAAACGAUCUUGGGAUAUGCUGUGGAUUGUGCGUGAAAGGAGCCUCUAGAAGGAGCAUUUUGUUUUAAGGUGGACCUUGACGGGUAUUGCACUAUUAUCAUCUUGCUGCUUACUGUGUGCAUCUUUGUAUAUGCAGACAUGUGACAUUCAUCUGUGGUCGGGCUGGUGUGUGCGCCCUUAGUGCCGUGGCUGCAAAGAACGCUGGGGAUCAUGCACUGCUCAACCACUACCUAUCCCAGUUCAAAGCGGUAAUGCUUUGAAAAUUUGUUGGCUAGAAAGUUAGUAAUGGUUGUCUUCUCGAGCCGAAAAAGAUAUUUAUGCGGUAGUAAACCAUUGUUUCUUUGUUUGGAAUUCUAAAUGCUUAUUGGUUACCCUUGUAACUCUUGUGUACUAUCCAUUUUUUGUUCCUUGUCAGAUGUACUACCUCAUUUGGCCAUCAUUUCUCUUGGGGGUUUCUGGACUGUGUAUGAAUUGCCACUUCAUAGGGUAUGGUCGUGAACGAAAUCAUCAAGGAUGGAAUACGAUUAGCUAACAAGGGUAGUUGCCCAUUGAUGUACGUAGCAUUUAUUUCGGUCCAAUAAAGUCAA